rnacentral:tRNA from 25 species
GCCCAGAUGGCGGAAUUGGUAGACGCACUGGUUUCAGGUACCAGCGCUGCAAGGCGUGGAGGUUCGAGUCCUCUUCUGGGCACCA